rnacentral:piRNA from 1 species
CAAACUGUAGCAGAUGUCAGGGAAGG